rnacentral:rRNA from 1 species
CCCAGUUCGGAUUGCAGGCUGNAACCCGCCUGCAUGAAGUUGGAAUCGCUAGUAAUCGCGGAUCAGCAUGCCGCGGUGAAUACGUUCCCGGGCCUUGUACACACCGCCCGUCACACCAUGAGAGUCGGGAACACCCGAAGUCCGUAGCCUAACCGCAAGGGGGCGCGGCCGAAGGUGGGUUCGAUAAUUGGGGUGAAGUCGUAACAAGGUAAC